rnacentral:rRNA from 1 species
CGAGAUGGUACCUGUGACUGGAGUUCAGACGUGUGCUCUUCCGAUCUCCGCACCCGUGUAUGUUGCAAAAUACUGGGAUGAUAUGUGAUUAGGGGUGAAAGGCUAAUCAAAUUCAGAAAUAGCUGGUUUUCUGCGAAAAUUAUUUAAGUAAUGCAUUAAAAUUUUAUAGUAUGGGGUAGAGCACUUGCUGGAUGAGGGGGGAAUUCUUGGUAAUUCUACUGAUUCCAAUUAAACUUCGAAUACGUAUUUAUAAAUAAUUUUAAUAGGCAGAUUUUGAGUGCUAAGAUUCAAGAUCAAGAGGGAAAAAGCCCUGAUUUUUAGUUAAGGUUUUUAAAUAUAAUUCAUGGACUAAGUUUAAAUUUGUAAUGAGAACCAAGAGGUAGGCUUAGAAGCAGCCAUCCUUUAAAGAAAGCGUCAUUGCUCAAUGGAAUAGCAUAAUUUAGACAGAAAUGUAUAGAAACUGUAGUUAUAUACCGAAACUAAAAAAUAUUGUAAUAUUGGUAGCAGAACGAUUAAUAUUAAAUUGAAAGAAAAAUUGUUAAAUUUUUUAGCAAAUUUAAUUUGAGAAUGUUGACAUGAGUAACGAAUUAAUAAUGAAAAAAAAAGAAACUAUCAUUAUCAUCGCAAAUUCUAGGUUUUCAAUGUAUAAAGUUUGACUUCGUUGAGUUAUACGGUCUCUAAGUUUAAAAUUGAAAAAUUUUAACGAUGAGUUAUUUGUUAAUAUUCAAAUUUAUUAAUUAAGUGAAAAUAAUAUGUGUAAUAAAUAUUUAUUUUUAUGGUAAAGUAACUAUAAUAACAUAUUAUUCGAGAAAUAUUUAAUUAAAUGUAACCGUACUUAAACCGACACAGGUGAAUUGGUAGAGUAUACUAAGAUGAUUGGAAGAACAAUUUUGAAGGAACUCGGCAAAUUGAUUCCGUAACUUCGGGAGAAGGAAUACUCAUAUUAGAAAUUUAAUGUUAAAAAUAAUUAAAAUAUGAAUGUUUAGUGUAACAGAAUAGGGGGUAGCGACUGUUUAAUAAAAACACAGGACUUUGCAAAAUAUUAUUAUGAUGUAUAAGGUCUGACGCCUGCCCAGUGAUGAGUAAUGAAAAAAAGAGGUGUUUAAUUAUGCUUUGAUUAUAAGUCUCAUUAAACGGCGGCUGUAACCCUGACGGUCCUAAGGUAGCGAAAUUCCUUGUCAAUUAAUUGUUGACCCGCAUGAAUGGCGUAACGACUUCCCCACUGUCUCCAAAAUUGAUCCAGUGAAAUUGCAUUUUACGUGAAGAUGCGUAAUAUUUAUAGCGGGACGGAAAGACCCUGUGCACCUUUACUAUAACUUUACAUUGAAAAAAAUAAGCUUAUAUAAAGAAUAGUUCUGAGUCUAUGAUCUAUUAAUUCCGGUUUUUAAGGGAGACGUCAGUGAGAUAUGAAUUAUAAGAAUAUUGAUUUCUAAUUUUUGAGAAAGACAAUGUAUGGUGGGUAGUUUAGCUGGGGCGGUUUCCUCCUAAAGAGUAACAGAGGAGUACAAAGGUAAUUUCAAUCUAAUUUCUAUUAGAAAAAUGAGUGUAAUGGCAUAAAAUUGCUUAACUGUUAGAUUUACAUAUCAAACAGAGACAUUAUGUCGGUCAUAGUGAUCCGGUGAUACUGAAUGGAAAGGUCAUCGAUUAACGGAUAAAAGGUACGCCAGGGAUAACAGGCUAAUUGUCCUUGAGAGGCCAUAUCGACGGGAUAGUUUGGCACCUCGAUGUCGACUUAUCACAUCCUGGUGUAGUAGGGGAUACCAAGGGUUCGGCUGUUCGCCGAUUAAAGUGGUACAUGAGUUGGGUUUAGAACGUCGUGAGACAGUUUGGUCCCUAUCUACUAUAAAUGAAAGAAAAUUGUUAAACGCUGACUUUCGUACGAGAGGAGCAAGGAGGAAAGACCUAUUGUGAAUUUGUUGUCUUAACCAAAGGCAUUGCAGAGAAGCUACGUCUUAUUUUUAGAACUACUGAAUGCAUUUAAGUAGGAAAAUUCUUUUAAAAGCAUUUUCUUAAUCAAGUUAAAGAUGAUAGAUCGGAAGAGCGUCGUGUAGGGAAAGAGUGUAGAUCUCGGUGGU